rnacentral:rRNA from 1 species
CUGGCGGCAUGCCUAACACAUGCAAGUCGAGCGAGCUGAUCCCUUCGGGGUGAAGCUAGCGGCGGACGGGUGAGUAACACGUGGGCAACCUGCCUCAUAGAGGGGAAUAGCCUCCCGAAAGGGAGAUUAAUACCGCAUAAGAUUGUAGCUUCGCAUGAAGUAGCAAUUAAAGGAGCAAUCCGCUAUGAGAUGGGCCCGCGGCGCAUUAGCUAGUUGGUGAGGUAACGGCUCACCAAGGCGACGAUGCGUAGCCGACCUGAGAGGGUGAUCGGCCACAUUGGGACUGAGACACGGCCCAGACUCCUACGGGAGGCAGCAGUGGGGAAUAUUGCACAAUGGGGGAAACCCUGAUGCAGCAAUGCCGCGUGAGUGAUGACGGCCUUCGGGUUGUAAAGCUCUGUCUUCAGGGACGAUAAUGACGGUACCUGAGGAGGAAGCCACGGCUAACUACGUGCCAGCAGCCGCGGUAAUACGUAGGUGGCAAGCGUUGUCCGGAUUUACUGGGCGUAAGGGGAGCGUAGGCGGAUUUUUAAGUGAGAUGUGAAAUACCCGGGCUUAACUUGGGUGCUGCAUUUCAAACUGGAAGUCUAGAGUGCAGGAGAGGAGAAGGGAAUUCCUAGUGUAGCGGUGAAAUGCGUAGAGAUUAGGAAGAACACCAGUGGCGAAGGCGCUUCUCUGGAUUGUAACUGACCGCUGAGGCUCGAAAGCGUGGGGAGCAAACAGGAUUAGUAUACCUUGGUAGUGCACGCGGUAAACGAUGAAUAUUAGGGGUAGGGUGUUGUCAUGACCUCUGUUGCCGCCGUUAACGCAUUAAGUAUUCUACCUGGGGAGUACGGUCGCAAGGAUUAAAACUCAAAGGAAUUGACGGGGGCCCGCACAAGCAGCGGAGCAUGUGGUUUAAUUGGAAGCAACGCGAAGACCCUUACCUAGACUUGACAUCUCGUGCAUUACCCUUAAUCGGGGAAGUCGUUUAGGUGACAGGAAGACAGGUGGUGCAUGGUUGUCGUCAGCUUGUGUCGUGAGAUGAUGGGUUAAGUCCCGCAACGAGCGCAACCCUUAUUGUUAGUUGCUACCAUUUAGUUGAGCACUCUAGUGAGACUGCCCGGGUUAACCGGGAGGAAGGUGGGGAGGACGUUAAAUCAUCAUGCGCCUUAUGUUUAGGGCUACACACGUGCUACAAUGGCAAGUACAAAGAGAAGCAAGACCGCGAGGUGGAGCAAAACUCAAAAACUUGUCUCAGUUCGGAUUGUAGGCUGAAACUCGCGUACAUGAAGCUGGAGUUGCUAGUAAUCGAGAAUCAGCAUGUCGCGGUGAAUACGUUCCCGGGCCUUGUACACACCGCCCGUCACACCAUGAGAGUUGGCAAUACCCAAAGUUGGUGAUCUAACCUGUAAGGGAGGAAGCCACAUAAGGUAGGGUCAGCGAUUGGG